rnacentral:rRNA from 1 species
GAUGAACGCUGGCGGCGUGCUUAACACAUGCAAGUCGAACGGAAAGGCUCCUGCUUGCAGGGGUACUCGAGUGGCGAACGGGUGAGUAACACGUGGGUGAUCUGCCCUGCACUUCGGGAUAAGCCUGGGAAACUGGGUCUAAUACCGGAUAGGACGAUGGUUUGGAUGCCAUUGUGGAAAGUUUUUUCGGUGUGGGAUGAGCUCGCGGCCUAUCAGCUUGUUGGUGGGGUAAUGGCCUACCAAGGCGUCGACGGGUAGCCGGCCUGAGAGGGUGUCCGGCCACAUUGGGACUGAGAUACGGCCCAGACUCCUACGGGAGGCAGCAGUGGGGAAUAUUGCACAAUGGGCGCAAGCCUGAUGCAGCGACGCCGCGUGGGGGAUGACGGCCUUCGGGUUGUAAACUCCUUUCGCUAGGGACGAAGCGCAAGUGACGGUACCUGGAGAAGAAGCACCGGCUAACUACGUG